rnacentral:rRNA from 1 species
CCUACGGGAGGCUGCAGUGAGGAAUAUUGGUCAAUGGGCGGGAGCCUGAACCAGCCAAGCCGCGUGAUGGAAGAAGGUACAGCGUAUCGUAAACCUCUUUUGUCAGGGAACAAAGGCGGGGACUAGUCCCCGGAUGAGGGUACCUGAAGAAAAAGCAUCGGCUAACUCCGUGCCAGCCGCCGCGGUAAUACGGAGGAUGCGAGCGUUAUCCGGAUUUCUUGGGUUUAAGGGGUGCGCAGGGGGCCUGUUAAGUCAGCGGUAAAAGCACGGGGCUCAACCCAGGCGAGCCGUUGAAACUUGCGGGCUGGAGUUGGAGAGAAGUACGCGGAAUGCGCGGUGUAGCGGUGAAAUGCUUAGAUAUCGCGCAGAAUCCCGAUUGCGAAGGCAGCGUACCGGCUCCACACUGACGCUGAGGCACGAAAGCGUGGGUAUCGAACAGGAUUAGAUACCCCAGUAGUC